GUGGGGAAUAUUGGACAAUGGGCGAAAGCCUGAUCCAGCCAUGCCGCGUGUGUGAAGAAGGUCUUCGGAUUGUAAAGCACUUUAAGUUGGGAGGAAGGGCAGUAAGUUAAUACCUUGCUGUUUUGACGUUACCGACAGAAUAAGCACCGGCUAACUUCGUGCCAGCAGCCGCGGUAAUACGAAGGGUGCAAGCGUUAAUCGGAAUUACUGGGCGUAAAGCGCGCGUAGGUGGUUUUGUAAGUUGGAGGUGAAAUCACCGGGCUCAACCUGGGAACUGCCUCAAAAACUGCAUGACUAGAGUACGGUAGAGGGUAGUGGAAUUUCCUGUGUAGCGGUGAAAUGCGUAGAUAUAGGAAGGAACACCAGUGGCGAAGGCGACUACCUGGACUGAUACUGACACUGAGGUGCGAAAGCGUGGGGAGCAAACAGGAUUAGAAACCCCGGUAGUCC
rnacentral:rRNA from 1 species